UCGGGAACACCCGAACGUCUGUGAGCUGACCGCAAGGAGGCAGCAGCCGAAGGUGGGUUCGAUGAUUGGGGUUAAGUCGUAACAAGGUAAC
rnacentral:rRNA from 1 species